AAAGUAAAAGUCGUAACAGGUGAACCUGCAGAAGGAUCAUUAACACGUAUCCGAGCAAAUCAGGCGCUAAAGAAUUACUGAUUUUGAUUUUGGGAAGUUCUGUGUGUACGUGGACGCUGCAAUUGAGCGCUAGAUAAAGCACCUGGUACCAAGAGCAAUCCUGUCUCAAAGCGGCAAGGGAUCAAUGUUCAGGGUGGCGCAGUCAACGAUCGCUGUAGGUCCACACGACCGGCGACCGGGUGGAGGCGAAAGCCCGUACGUCAUCCCUAUGUACCCUCCGGGACUUGGCGAAAGCUGACCCCGUCAUAAAUCGAACAACCUGUUACCAAUGGAUAUCUUGGUUCGC
rnacentral:misc_RNA from 1 species